GAUGAACGCUGGCGGCGUGCCUAAUACAUGCAAGUCGAGCGAACGGACGAGAAGCUUGCUUCUCUGAUGUUAGCGGCGGACGGGUGGGUAACACGUGGAUAACCUACCUAUAAGACUGGGAUAACUUCGGGAAACCGGAGCUAAUACCGGAUAAUAUUUUGAACCGCAUGGUUCAAAAGUGAAAGACGGUCUUGCUGUCACUUAUAGAUGGAUCCGCGCUGCAUUAGCUAGUUGGUAAGGUAACGGCUUACCAAGGCAACGAUGCAUAGCCGACCUGAGAGGGUGAUCGGCCACACUGGAACUGAGACACGGUCCAGACUCCUACGGGAGGCAGCAGUAGGGAAUCUUCCGCAAUGGGCGAAAGCCUGACGGAGCAACGCCGCGUGAGUGAUGAAGGUCUUUGGAUCGUAAAACUCUGUUAUUAGGGAAGAACAUAUGUGUAAGUAACUGUGCACAUCUUGACGGUACCUAAUCAGAAAGCCACGGCUAACUACGUG
rnacentral:rRNA from 1 species